rnacentral:rRNA from 1 species
GACAGAGGGUGCAAACGUUGUUCGGAAUUAUUGGGCGUAAAGGGCGCGUAGGCGGUUUGACAAGUCUGAUGUGAAAUCUCUGGGCUCAACCCAGAGUCUGCAUUAGAAACUGUCGGGCUUGAGUAUGGGAGAGGUGAGUGGAAUUUCCGGUGUAGCGGUGAAAUGCGUAGAUAUCGGAAGGAACACCUGUGGCGAAAGCGGCUCACUGGACCAUAACUGACGCUGAGGCGCGAAAGCUAGGCGAAGCG